rnacentral:lncRNA from 1 species
AAGUGAUCUGCCUGCCUCGACCUCCCAAAGUGCUGGGAUUACAGGCAUGAGCCACCAUGCCCAGCCUAUUUAUUUCAGUCUUGUAAAAUUCCUCUUAGCAAUGUUAUGUAGUUUUCAAUGUAGAAGUUCCUGGAUGGAUUUUGCUGAAUAUUAUCAAAUGCCUUCUAGAAAGGUUGUAUCAGUUUACCUUACCACCAAUACUACAUUUUCUUUUCUUUUCUUUCCUUCCUUCCUUUCUUUCUUUCUUCCUUCCUUCCUUCCUUCCUUUUUUUUUUUUGAGAUGGAGUUUUGCACUUGUCCCCCACGCUGGAGUGCAAUGGCAUGAUCUCAGCUCACUGCAACCCCCGCCUCCCCACUUCAAGCGAUUCUGCUGCCUCAGCCUCCAGAGUAGCUGGGAUUACAGGCGCCUGCCACCACGCCCAGGGUCUCACUCUGUCACCCAGGCUGGAGUGCUGUGGCACAAUCUUGGCUCACUGCAACCUCCACUUCCCAGGCUCAAGUGAUCCUCCCACCUCAGCCUCCCGAAUAGCUGGGACCACAGGGUCUUGCUCCGUCAUCCAAGCUGGAGUGCAGUGGCACGAUCAUGGCUCAUUGUAACUUGGAACUCCUGGGCUCAAGCGACCCUCCUGCUUCAGCCUCCCAAAGUGCUGGUAUUAGAGGUGUGAGCCACCUCGCCCAGCUUCUUCUACAACUAUUAACUGAAAUUCUUCUGUAAAUAAUUUUCCCUUACCAACUAGGUCUUUUUGGUAUCCUAAAAUAACCAUUUGUACAUGAUGAGUAGAAUAAAUGUUUCUUUUGUGAAUUUUUCUUUGUGCAUAUUUUUUUGUGUAUUUUUAAAAAUUUAAGUAUUUAAAUUAGUGAUUUGAAGCUUUG